rnacentral:rRNA from 1 species
AUUGAACGCUGGCGGCAUGCCUUACACAUGCAAGUCGAACGGUAACAGGUUAAGCUUACGCGUGGCGCGCGGGUGAGUGAUACAUCGGUACCUGCCCGGUAGUGUGCGUUAGCGCGGCGGAAGCCUGAUUAAUACCGCAUCCGACCUCAGAGUGUAUGUGGGGGCUCGCAGUACCUCUCGCUAUUGCGGCUGCCGGUGUCCGAUUAGCUAGUUGGUGGGGUAAAAGCUCACCAAGGCGACGAUCUGUAGCUGCUCUGAGAGGAGGACCAGCCACACUGGGACUGAGACACGGCCCAGACUCCUACGGGAGGCAGCAGUGGGGAAUUUUGGGCAAUGGGCGAAAGCCUGACGCAGCCAUGCCGCGUGAGGGAAGAAGGACUUCGGGUUGUAAACCGCUGUUGUCAGGGAAGAAAUAAUGUGGGUUAAUACCUCGGGGGGAUGACGGUACCUGAAGAAUAAGCACCGGCUAACUACGUG